UUAACCCCUUUGAGCCUAAACAGUUUGAAUCUCGGCUUGAAAUAAAGCGAGAUCUCAAAAAUCUUUUUUUACAACCCGGAAAAUCUUGAUUUAUUGUUCUUUUGCCGUAAAAAGGUAAGAGCAUUCUCAUCUAGGGUGUGAAGAAAUAAGUUUGGGAGAACGAAAAAGAAUGGUAAGUACCACAACUCUUGAAAAAGAUAAGAAAAACCGAGCAAGCAUAGAAAAAUAUAUGUAUAGAAAAUAU
rnacentral:lncRNA from 1 species